UAGGGAAUCUUCGGCAAUGGACGAAAGUCUGACCGAGCAACGCCGCGUGAGUGAAGAAGGUUUUCGGAUCGUAAAACUCUGUUGUUAGAGAAGAACAAGGACGUUAGUAACUGAACGUCCCCUGACGGUAUCUAACCAGAAAGCCACGGCUAACUACGUGCCAGCAGCCGCGGUAAUACGUAGGUGGCAAGCGUUGUCCGGAUUUAUUGGGCGUAAAGCGAGCGCAGGCGGUUUCUUAAGUCUGAUGUGAAAGCCCCCGGCUAAACCGGGGAGGGUCAUUGGAAACUGGGGGACUUGAGUGCAGAAGGGGAGAGUGGAAUUCCAUGUGUAGCGGUGAAAUGCGUAGAUAUAUGGAGGAACACCAGUGGCGAAGGCGGCUCUCUGGUCUGUAACUGACGCUGGGGCUCGAAAGCGUGGGGAGCAAACAGG
rnacentral:rRNA from 1 species